rnacentral:rRNA from 1 species
CCUACGGGAUGCAGCAGUGGGGAAUAUUGCACAAUGGGCGCAAGCCUGAUCCAGCCACGCCGCGUGAGUGAAGAAGGCCUUAGGGUUGUAAAGCUCGUUCACCGGUGAAGAUAAUGACGGUAACCGGAGAAGAAGCCCCGGCUAACUUCGUGCCAGCAGCCGCGGUAAUACGAAGGGGGCUAGCGUUGUUCGGAAUUACUGGGCGUAAAGCGCGCGUAGGCGGAUAGAUAAGUCAGAGGUGAAAUCCCGGGGCUCAACCCCGGAAUUGCCUUUGAUACUGUUUAUCUUGAGUGCAGAAGAGGUAAGUGGAAUUCCGAGUGUAGAGGUGAAGUUUGUAGAUAUUCGGAGGAACACCAGUGGCGAAGGCGGCUUACUGGUCUGCAACUGACGCUGAGGCGCGAAAGCGUGGGGGGCAAACGGGAUUAGAUACCCGUGUAGUC